rnacentral:rRNA from 1 species
UACGUAGGCAGCAAGCGUUGUUCGGAAUUACUGGGCGUAAAGGGUCCGCAGGUGGCCCGGUCAGUCCGCUGUCAAAGCCUGGGGCUCAACCCUGGAGAGGCGGCGGAGACCACCGGGCUUGAGUCCGGUAGGGGCAGAGGGAAUUCCCGGUGGAGCGGUGAAAUGCGUAGAGAUCGGGAAGAACGCCAAGGGCGAAGGCACUCUGCUAGGCCUGAUUUCGCGACUGACACUCAGGGACGAGAGCCAGGGGAGCGAAUGGG